UAUGCUUCCACCUCAUUUCAUUUUGGCCUCUGUGAACAGAACAUGGCGAUUCACCCGAGGAUCAUACUUCCGAAACUCAAGUUUCUCAGUAAUUUUCUUAGAACUCUUUCUUUUAACAUAGAAGAAUCCAGUCCCAGCAGCUGAAACAAGCCGGAUGAACAUGAACGUCUUCUUCUUCUUGUCACCCAUUCCUAAUUGCAUACACAAGAUAAAGCCACCAAGACAGUGUAAACACGUGCUUUAAAGAAAGAACAUAUAUUUUUCGUAUUACAAUUAGAAACAAUAGAUAUCACUGAUAAGUGUAUGCGUAAGUGUGCAUCUGGAAUCCAAAUCCAUCGUAGACAAUAUAUAACAUGCUUCUCAUCUCUAACCUAAAAUUUGCCUACCGGGCACAGACGGUCUUGAAUCUAGAUAGAUGAUAUCAAAAUAGUUAAGACAAUAAAUUUGAGGGAUUAGACAGAAUCUCAAUUCCAAACACCAUAUAAAAGACGUCCACAAAAAAUGAAUCUCAAUUGGUCAUUUUAUCGAGCAUCUAUUGAGCAAGUCUCAGAGGCGACCCAGAAUCAAUUUCGCACGUCAAAACUCCUCGCUCCAUAUUGGCAUAAUUAUCACAACAAAUGGGUACCUAGAAAUAAAGAAUUGCUACUCCUGCGAGUCAGCAACAAUCUGAAAAUAAAACCCAAUGCUGUGUUGGCAGCAAGAGAAAAACUUUAACCAGUGGAAACAAAAACAGAGAAUUCGAGAAAAUUUCCAUCAAUGAAUCAAUUCAAAAAGAAAAGUUGAAUUUGAACUCACUAGCCAAUCUUCUUACAACGAGUGAACAAAAGGGCACCCGAUAAACCAAGGAAAUGCAAGAGAUAGAACAGCUCAGCAACAAAAACCCAAAACCCUAGAAGAAGCGGAGCGAGUAAAGUGGCAAUCUUUUCUAUCCUAUAAAAUGACACAAAUGUCCUCGUUCACUGAGAUGUUUUCCUUCGAGUAGGUGUCAUGUUAUCCUAUCCUCCACCUAACGGCGCACAUUAGCAUUACCCAGUCUUUCUCACUGAUUUCUCAGCACCUAAACGAUCUCGUUUCCUUUCCCUUCUCUAUCACUCGCAAAGCUGUUUCUCUGUUUCUCAGUAGCAACGAGGAGGUACAAUUAUUCUAGAAAAAGGGAAAAAAGAAAAAGUUUUGGUCAAUUUGUUUUUCAACCCUUCACUUUUCUGUUUGAUUAGUGAGAAAAUGAGGAAAUGUUGAGAAAACAACUAAAUUUUUUUUUUCUUCUUAGUAUUUAUAGAAUCGAUUAGAGAUGGCGAGUGCGGUGGACGCUACGGGGAAUCCGAUCCCCACAUCUGCGGUGUUGACGGCAUCAUCAAAGCACAUAUCGGCGAGAUGCUUACAGGAGAAUGUGGCGUUCCUCAAGUGCAAGAAGAAGGAUCCGAACCCGGAGAAAUGCCUCGAUAAGGGCCAGGAAGUCACUCGCUGCGUCCUUGGCCUGCUGAAAGAUCUUCACCAGAGGUGCACAAAGGAGAUGGAUGCGUAUGUUGGUUGCAUGUAUUAUCAUACAAAUGAAUUUGAUUUGUGUCGCAAAGAGCAGCAAGCAUUUGAGAAAGCAUGCCCUUUGGAAUGAUUGGCAAACUGAACUUAUUAUAAUGCCUUGGUUACAAUAAUUAGGACAGUUUGCAAUGAGCAAAUACUGUUGUUGUUUCUGGUUUCCUGACACGAAUCAUCGUCAUUUUGUAUGGUUCAAAAUGUUCUUUAGGAAUUGCUUCAAAUAAAAAAAGAUGGGACCUUGCCUCCUUUUUAAGCAUAGAAGUUGUUGAUCAUUAUUUGCUUUUACAGUAAACAGAUGGUUUGAAUUUUGGUUUCAAAUAGGUUUUACUUUAAUAUGUUCAUUCAGCAGCUAGUUCAUAGAUUUUUUUUUUCUUAAUAAAGAGCUAAGGACCAAGGCUAAA
rnacentral:misc_RNA from 1 species